ACUUGCACACUCCAUUCAAUUCAAUGUCUUCACACUCACACCCCAUUCAAUUCAAUGCCCUCAAACACACACUCCAUUCUUUCACAUUAUAGUGCACACUUACGAUUUAAAAAUGACACCCACCAAUUUUUGUUUGACACUUUUUCAAUGCAUGAGCCCACAAAAAUCUUCUUUUCCAACAUAAUCAAAAUCCAUCUGCACACAUUAUAUAUAUAAUCCACUUACAUUUGGAAAGAGAGGAGGAUAUCAGAUUUGAGACCCAUUCCCUUCCAAAAAAAGAGCAACGACGCUCUCUGAAGAAUGACAAAAAAUAGUGCCGAUCCCCUCCCAUCAUCUUCUUUCGACUCUUAUUCAAUCUUGAUUAGAUAGCACUUUCUUUAUUUCAUUUACACCUAGACUCACUCAUACAAAGCUUCACAAACACACAACAAAUACAUUUAAAAAAAUCUGGGUGCCAUUACCAUCACAAGGGGACCUUUUCCUCACAUCUCUGUUUGGAUCUGUAAGCCUAAAGCAGCUACUCCUUCUUCAGCCAUUUUUUUCCCUCCCAAAUGCCACCAUGAAAUCCUCUUAUCUUCUACCAUAUCCAGCUAAAAAUAAAUAGCAAAAACACAGCAGCUCUGAGAGCUGAGUUCGGGGUCGGCGUCGAGCUUCUCUGUUUGGGUCUCAGUCGUGGUCUGUUUGUGCGAGGGCUUAGCAGUUCGUUACCCCUUAUGUAUUGAAGAUUAUAUUUCAACUAUUAAAAGAUCAACAAAAUGGUUAAUCUGGACAUAAUAUUACUAUGGUGGGGAAUAGAGUAGAGAGCCACAAAUGAAGUAUGCUAAGAACCUGUUGCACACUUGGACAAGUUACGACUCUGACCAUCUUUCAUAAAAAGACAUUGUAGAUGAGUUUUGCAAUAAAUUAGGGUUUAUUGGUAUUCAACAGCUUAUAGUUUCUGCCCCUUCUGGUAGCUACUAUGAAGUUGAAGGGGAUAAUGGCAUUAGGUGCAUGUUAGAAAUGGUUGGUACUGAUUAUAAUGUUAUUAAUUAGUUUGUUGUUGAGGAAUGUGAGAUUUCAGUCCAAGUACCUAAUAUUACUCAAUAUGAUAAGGUUGUAGUACCUGAUUUUGAGGUUGCUACUGACUGUAGCUCAACUGAUGGUGAGGAUAGUGAUGAGUAUGAUUCUGAAGAAUUAGAUACUAUUGCAACUCAAAGAAACAUGAGCAUUAUUGAUCAGCUCCUUGAUUAUAAGGAACUAGACAAGAGUAUGACCUUCAAGGACAUCUCUGAAGCUAGGGAGUGUAUAAAACUCUAUGAUAUGGCAAAUAAGAAAGAUAUAGUUCUUAAAAAAAGUGAUAAAAUACGGCUUAGGUAUGAGUGUCAAAUUGGCUGCCCAUUGUUUGUUUAAUCUCUAAAGAUGGGAACUGUCCAGGGGUAAGAAUCAAUACCUUAAACCCACAUCAUGACUUCUAUGUUGCGUAUGAUAAUAGUAUUGUUGACUACUGUACUAUUGCAUAUUAUUUUAAGAAGAAGUUACAAAAUAAUCCAAAAUAUAAAGUGAAAGAGAUGAGGCUGACCUGAAAGAUGCAUUUGAGAUGAAUGUUAGUCAUGGAAAAUGCAAGAGGGAAAAAGCAUUGAUUCUUAAUAAACUGCAAGGAAGCAUUAAAGAUGAGUAUUAUAAGCUAGAGGCAUAUGCCAAUGAGUUGAAGAUCAGUAAUCCUGGUAGUGAUAUUGUUAUUAACUUGUCAAAAGAUGCACUAGCUGAAGGUAAUAGGAAAUUUUUAAGAAUGUAUAUAUGUUUCAAUGCACGGAAGAUGGGUUUUAAGGCUUGUUUGAGGCAUUUCAUUGGAUUGGAGGGAAUAUUUCUUAAGGAAAAAGCUAAAGGAUAGCUUCUAGUUGUUGUUGGUCAAGACUCAAUGAACCAUUUUUAUCCUAUAGCAUGGGCUGUAGUGGACAAAGAAACAAAGAGGACUUGGGACUGGUUUUUGGGAUUGCUAAAAAGGUCAUUGGACCUACAGAAUGGAGAAGGAUACACUUUCAUCUCAGACAUGCAAAAGGGUCUGAUUGAGGCAAUGAGAACAACACUUCUUGAAGCUAAUCAUAGAUAUUUUGUUAGACACAUUGAGGCUAACUGGUGUAAGAGAUGGAGAUCUAGGGAGAUGAAGAAGCUUUUAUAGUGGUGUGCAUGGAGCACUUAUGAGGAUUAUUUUCAAGAUCAAUUAAAGAAUAUGGGGGAUAUGGAUGAAGAUGUUGUAAGGCAUUUGCUACAUUAUCCUGCUCAGUCAUGGUGUAGAGCUUAUUUUGACAUUGUGUGCAAGAAUAUGGCAGUGGACAAUAAUUUCACAGAGUCAUUCAAUGCAUGGAUCUUGGAUGCAAGGUAUAAACCAAUAAUCAAAAUGUUGGAAGACAUUAGUGUUAAGGUGAUGACCUUAUUGAGAGAACAUGAAGAUCAAGUGAAGUCAUGGACUCAUGACUUCAGUCCACAAAGCAUGAAAUUGUAUGCUGAUUACUUGAAGAUUGCUCACAUAUGUAUGGUUCACUUUAAUGGAGAUGUUGGUUAUGAGAUUAGAGAAGGAGUAGAUGAACAUACUGUCAAAAUAGAAGUGAAGCAAUGCAGUUGUAGGCAAUGGCAACUCUCAGGAAUACCAUGUCCUCACACAAUCAAAGCAGUGAUAUACAAGAGGAAUGAUCCUUUUGGAGCAAAUGUAUUGGUGGUAUAGCAAAGAAGCUGCUCAAAAGACUUAUUCACAUAAGUUGCAGCUUGUUGGGGGUGAGAAAUUCUGGAAAAUAGACUCAUCACAGGCCAUGGAACCACCAUACUUAGUGAAAUUAGCUGGCAUGCCUAAACUGAAGAGAAAUAUGCAAAAAGAUGAGGCAAGCAAGAGACAAGGUGAAUGGUCUGCUUCAAGGAAAAGGAGAACCAUGAACUGCAGUUGCUGUGGAGAACGAAAUCAUAAUGCAAGAGGGUGUACAAAGGUCCCAAUAAUCGCAAAAUAGUCAAGCCUCCAGCAGUCCACUCGUGUUCAUUCCUACCCCAACUGUUUUUGGUAGCAUUUCAUCUCUCCUAGAUGUUACUAGUAGGAGACUUUUACCUCCACAAUUUGCAUAUGAAGAAGACUCUGCUAUAAGGUCAAAAAUUAUUUUAGAGACAAGGACAAGGCUUCAAGUGAGACAAGAACCAACUCUUCCAUCUGUGAUAAGAUUUAUCCCCUUAAGAAGUGGCUCAACUGGUGUGGGUGAUCCUUCAAAUCUGCCCUACUUACCAAGAGUACUCACAUGGAAGGGAAAAGAGGUUGUAACUAGCAACCAACUGGAGAUGUAAGCUCAGAAAAAAAUUAGAAAAUUGCAGGCAAGAAAGGGAAAUAAGAGUACUAUGUUGGAGUAAUGGGAAGUAGGUUUUAGAAUAAUAGUUUGAGACUUAGUUUUUUGUCAAAAUAAUUUGGUUGGUGAUGUAAUUUACUGCUUAUGCCAUUACAUUUACUACUACUCUUUUUUUGCUAGGUUGGUGAUGGCAGUUGGAUGCCAUAGUAUGACUUAGGUGGUAACUUCUUUUAGGGUUAUAAUAUGGCAUCCGUAUGUCAAUUUAAUGUACCUUAACAAUUAACAUUUUAAAUUAAUGGCAA